rnacentral:rRNA from 1 species
AGAGUUUGAUCCUGGCUCAGGAUGAACGCUGGCGGCGUGCUUAACACAUGCAAGUCGAACGAUCCUUCGGGAUAGUGGCGGACGGGUGAGUAACGCGUGGGAAUCUGCCCUCAGGAGGGGGAUAACGGCUGGAAACGGCCGCUAAUACCCCAUAUGCCGAGAGGUGAAAUGAAUUUCGCCUGAGGAUGAGCCCGCGUCUGAUUAGCUAGUUGGUGGGGUAAAGGCCUACCAAGGCAGCGAUCAGUAGCUGGUCUGAGAGGAUGAUCAGCCACACUGGGACUGAGACACGGCCCAGACUCCUACGGGAGGCAGCAGUGGGGAAUUUUCCGCAAUGGGCGAAAGCCUGACGGAGCAACGCCGCGUGAGGGAUGAAGGCCUCUGGGCUGUAAACCUCUUUUCUCAAGGAAGAAGACCUGACGGUACUUGAGGAACAAGCCACGGCUAAUUCCGUGCCAGCAGCCGCGGUAAUACGGGAGUGGCAAGCGUUAUCCGGAAUUAUUGGGCGUAAAGCGUCCGCAGGCGGCCUUGUAAGUCUGUUGUUAAAGCGUGGAGCUCAACUCCAUUUAAGCAAUGGAAACUACAAGGCUGGAGUGUGGUAGGGGCAGAGGGAAUUCCCGGUGUAGCGGUGAAAUGCGUAGAUAUCGGGAAGAACACCAGUGGCGAAGGCGCUCUGCUGGGCCAUAACUGACGCUCAUGGACGAAAGCCAGGGGAGCGAAAGGGAUUAGAUACCCCUGUAGUCCUGGCCGUAAACGAUGAACACUAGGUGUCGGGGGAAUCGACCCCCUCGGUGUCGUAGCCAACGCGUUAAGUGUUCCGCCUGGGGAGUACGCACGCAAGUGUGAAACUCAAAGGAAUUGACGGGGGCCCGCACAAGCGGUGGAGUAUGUGGUUUAAUUCGAUGCAACGCGAAGAACCUUACCAGGGUUUGACAUCCUGCGAACCCCUGAGAAAUCGGGGGGUGCCUUCGGGAGCGCAGAGACAGGUGGUGCAUGGCUGUCGUCAGCUCGUGUCGUGAGAUGUUGGGUUAAGUCCCGCAACGAGCGCAACCCACGUCUUUAGUUGCCAGCAUUCAGUUGGGCACUCUAGAGAGACCGCCGGUGAUAAACCGGAGGAAGGUGUGGAUGACGUCAAGUCAUCAUGCCCCUUACAUCCUGGGCUACACACGUACUACAAUGCUACGGACAAAGGGCAGCAAGCUCGCGAGAGUUAGCAAAUCCCAUAAACCGUGGCUCAGUUCAGAUCGUAGGCUGCAACUCGCCUACGUGAAGUAGGAAUCGCUAGUAAUCGCAGGUCAGCAUACUGCGGUGAAUACGUUCCCGGGCCUUGUACACACCGCCCGUCACACCAUGGAAGUUGGCCAUGCCCGAAGUCGUUACUCCAACCCUUGUGGAGGAGGACGCCGAAGGUGGGGCUGAUGACUGGGGUGAAGUCGUAACAAGGUA